rfam:Myotis davidii contig33238, whole genome shotgun sequence.
GGCGAUCUCAGGUGACGUACCCCAGAAUCGAGCUCCCUCGCCUCUGGUUCCGGGUGCGUCACCCAAGAACUGCA